AAAUCUCUUUCAGGCCGCUCAGCUGGUUUCUGCUUCUCCCACAUAGCGGAUCUUGUCUCAGAAUCUUUGCAGCUCAGUUUCUUUCCUCUGAGAGGGAUUGUCUUAGCUUUUAUUGUUUACUAUGACUUGGCUCUGCACCAAGGCCCAGCACUGCUUCAAACACUUGCAGCUGGCCCAGGGAAGUAGAAUGUGGAGGAUAUUCUUGGAUAGAGACUACUGAAAUAAUGGACAUCAAGAAAUUGGAAUUUACCAGAAGAGAAAGGCUGAAUCCUGAUGGUACCCAGAGGAACACUUGUCUCAUCGAGAAAGAGGCUGCACAGACUACCUUGCAGAAAAGACUGGAGCAUAGUCAAAGAUGGGCCAACAUGGAUGGGACUGUGCCCUGACCAUGCUAAGUUAUGCAUACCUGCUGUUAGGGUUUGAAAACCAUUAAAAGAAGAUCCCAGAC